rnacentral:rRNA from 1 species
UUUGAACGCUGGCGGCAGGCUUAACACAUGCAAGUCGAGCGGAGAUGAGGUGCUUGCACCUUAUCUUAGCGGCGGACGGGUGAGUAAUGCUUAGGAAUCUGCCUAUUAGUGGGGGACAACAUUCCGAAAGGAAUGCUAAUACCGCAUACGUCCUACGGGAGAAAGCAGGGGAUCUUCGGACCUUGCGCUAAUAGAUGGGCCUAAGUCGGAUUAGCUAGUUGGUGGGGUAAAGGCCUACCAAGGCGACGAUCUGUAGCGGGUCUGAGAGGAUGCACCGCCACACUGGGACUGAGACACGGCCCAGACUCCUACGGAAGGCAGCAGUGGGGAAGAUUCGACAAUGGGGGAAACCCUGAUCCAGCCAUGCCGCGUGUGUGAAGAAGGCCUUAUGCUUGUAAAGCACUUUAAGCGAGGAGGAGGCUACUGAGACUAAUACUCUUGGAUAGUGGACGUUACUCGCAGAAUAAGCACCGGCUAACUCUGUGCCAGCCGCCGCCGUAA